rnacentral:rRNA from 1 species
GGGGAAUAUUGCGCAAUGGGGGAAACCCUGACGCAGCGACGCCGCGUGAAGGAAGAAGGUCUUCGGAUCGUAAACUUCUUUGACUGGGGAAGAGUAGAAGACGGUACCCAGGGAACAAGCCACGGCUAACUACGUGCCAGCAGCCGCGGUAAUACGUAGGUGGCGAGCGUUGUCCGGAAUUACUGGGUGUAAAGGGCGUGUAGGCGGGAGAGCAAGUCAGGUGUGAAAGCCCAAGGCUCAACUUUGGGACUGCAUCUGAAACUGUUUUUCUUGAGUACUGGAGAGGGAAGCGGAAUUCCUAGUGUAGCGGUGAAAUGCGUAGAGAUUAGGAGGAACACCAGUGGCGAAGGCGGCUUCCUGGACAGAGACUGACGCUGAGGCGCGAAAGCGUGGGGAGCGAAC